rnacentral:rRNA from 1 species
AACGAACGCUGGCGGCAGGCUUAACACAUGCAAGUCGAGCGCCCCGCAAGGGGAGCGGCAGACAGGUGAGUAACGCGUGGGAAUCUACCGUGCCCUGCGGAAUAGCUCCGGGAAACUGGAAUUAAUACCGCAUACGCCCUACGGGGGAAAGAUUUAUCGGGGUAUGAUGAGCCCGCGUUGGAUUAGCUAGUUGGUGGGGUAAAGGCCUACCAAGGCGACGAUCCAUAGCUGGUCUGAGAGGAUGAUCAGCCACAUUGGGACUGAGACACGGCCCAAACUCCUACGGGAGGCAGCAGUGGGGAAUAUUGGACAAUGGGCGCAAGCUCGAUCCAGCCAUGCCGCGUGAGUGAUGAAGGCCCUAGGGUUGUAAAGCUCUUUCAACGGUGAAGAUAAUGACGGUAACCGUAGAAGAAGCCCCGGCUAACUUCGUGCCAGCCGCCGCGGUAACAC